GGGGUGUGAGAUCUAGGGCAGGGGUUCUAGGGUUUCCUAGUUCCUAUUUUAUGAGAGAGAAAAAUACAAAGAGUUUUAUUUUUCUUCUUCCAUGCCAUCUCCUCCUUGAAAAGCUCCUCCUUUUAAUCUGAAAGUGUCUGUUUAAUCUGAAGAAAAGAGUCUCCAUCAGCCAUCCAAAGCCUUUGUCAUGAGCUAGCACUUUCGAGAAGGACGAUCUGCUUGGGGCUUCGAGUGAAUCAUCUGUAG
rnacentral:lncRNA from 1 species